UAGCUUAUCAGACUGGUGUUGGCUGUUAACUCAGUUGGCGACAACAGUUGGUAGGCUAUC
rnacentral:pre_miRNA from 1 species